CUAAGAAUAUUCCGCAAUGGACGAAAGUCUGACGGAGCGACGCCGCGUGGAUGAAGAAGGCCGAAAGGUUGUAAAGUUCUUUUGUUGGGGAAGAAUAACCAUGGGAGGGAAUGCCCGUGGGAUGACAUGAACCGACGAAUAAGCCCCGGCUAACUACGUGCCAGCAGCCGCGGUAACACGUAGGGGGCGAGCGUUGUUCGGAAUUACUGGGCGUAAAGGGCAUGUAGGCGGUCUUGUAAGCUUGGCGUGAAAGACCACGGCUCAACCGUGGGAUUGCGUUGAGAACUGCGAGGCUUGAGUGACGGAGAGGGAGCUAGAAUUCCUGGUGUAGGGGUGGAAUCUGUAGAGAUCAGGAAGAAUACCAAUGGCGAAGGCAAGCUCCUGGCCGAUGACUGACGCUGAGGUGCGAAAGUGUGGGGAUCAAACAGG
rnacentral:rRNA from 2 species